rnacentral:snoRNA from 1 species
GGAGGUCGAUGAUGAUCCUCAAAAUAUUUGCCUACAUUGUUUGAUCUCAAGCAUGAUAAGAAAAAUCUCAGUACUUCUGAGGCCUCA